rnacentral:rRNA from 1 species
GAUGAACGCUGGCGGCGUGCCUAAUACAUGCAAGUCGAGCGAACGGACCAGAAGCUUGCUUUUCUGAUGUUAGCGGCGGACGGGUGAGUCACACGUGGAUAACCUACCUCUCCGACUGGGAUAACUUCGGGAAACCGGAGCUAAUCCCGGAUAAUAUUUUGAACCGCAUGGUUCCAAAGUGAAAGACGGUCUUUCUGUCACUUAUAGCUGGCUCCGGGCUUCAUUCGCUAGUUGUUAAGGUGGCGGCUUACCAAGGCAACGAGGCAUAGCCGCCCUGAGAGCGUGAUCGCCCACACGGGAACUGAGACACAGUCCAGACUCCUACGGGAGGCAGCAGUAGGGAAUCUUACGCAAUGGGCGAGAGCCUGACGGAGCAACGCCGCGUGAGGGAUGAAGGUCUUCGGAUCGUAAAGCUCUGUUAUUAGGAAAGAACAUAUGUGUAAUUAACUGUGAACAUAUUGACGGUACCUAGUCAGAAAGCCACGGCUAACUACGUG